GUAUAAAACGAUCUUGGAACCUCGGCAACAGCAGUCUAUUACGCCGCAAGGUAGUACAUCCAUCGCACGAACAAUGAAGCUGCUAAUUCUUGUUGUAAUUUCCUUAGUCGUGUUUGUCGCACAAUCUUCUGCACAAACCCCAAAACCGCAAACAUCGGGAACCGAGGGUAACCCAUGCUAUCUAUUUGGUGCUGUUGGAUUACUAAAUACUGUAUGCAGAACACAAUGUGUAAUUGCUCCCGCGCUAGGACUCUGCAUUAAUGGGUUACUGUGCUGCUACAGUGCCUAGGAUGAAGCAAUCUGGUGCAAUAUUGGUUACCUAAUGUAAAAUGUCCAGUUCUGUGCAAAUAUAAUAUUUUAAGUAU